rnacentral:rRNA from 1 species
UGGGCAACCUGCCCCUCUCUCUCUGGGAUAACCCCGGGGAAACCGGAGCUAAUACCGGAUACUCCGGCUGGAUCGCAUGGUCCGGCCGGGAAAGGUCCGCCGGAGAGGGAUGGGCCCGCGGCCUAUCAGCUUGUUGGUGGGUAACGGCUCACCAAGGCGACGACGGGUAGCUGGUCUGAGAGGACGACCAGCCACACUGAAACUGAGAUACGGUCCAGACUCCUACGGGAGGCA